rnacentral:rRNA from 1 species
CCUACGGGAGACAGCAGUGAGGAAUAUUGGUCAAUGGACGAGAGUCUGAACCAGCCAAGUAGCGUGAAGGAUGACUGCCCUAUGGGUUGUAAACUUCUUUUAUAAAGGAAUAAAACGAGGCACGUGUGCCUUUUUGCAUGUACUUUAUGAAUAAGGAUCGGCUAACUCCGUGCCAGCAGCCGCGGUAAUACGGAGGAUCCGAGCGUUAUCCGGAUUUAGUGGGUUUAAAGGGAGCGUAGAUGGGUUGUUAAGUCAGUUGUGAAAGUUUGCGGCUCAACCGUAAAAUUGCAAUUGAUACUGGCAGUCUUGAGUACAGUUGAGGUAGGCGGAAUUCGUGGUGUAGCGGUGAAAUGCUUAGAUAUCACGAAGAACCCCGAUUGCGAAGGCAGCUUACUAAACUGUGACUGACAUUGAUGCUCGAAAGUGUGGGUAUCAAACAGGAUUAGAUACCCUGGUAGUC